UAGUCGAGUGACUCAGGCAAAACGAGUCACGGCGCACAGCUCAGUAACACGUGGCUAAUCUGCCCUUGAGACGAGAAUAACCCCGGGAAACUGGGGCUAACUCUCGAUAGGCGAAGAACUCUGGAAUGAGUCUUCACCCAAAAAGCUUCACGUUAUCCUCGUGAAGUCGCUCAAGGAUGAGGCCGCGACCGAUCAGGUUGUUGGUGAGGUAAUGGCUCACCAAGCCUUUUACCGGUGCGGGCCGUGGGAGCGGGAGCCCGGAGAUGGGUACUGAGACAAGGACCCAGGCCCUACGGGGCGCAGCAGUCGCGAAAACUUUGCAAUACACGAAAGUGUGACAGGGCUAUCCCGAGUGCCAUCCGCUGAGGAAGGCUUUUACCCAGUCUAGAACGCUGGGGGAAUAAGGAGAGGGCAAGUCUGGUGUCAGCCGCCGCGGUAAUACCAGCUCUCCGAGUGGUGUGGAUGUUUAUUGGGCCUAAAGCAUCCGUAGCUGGCUAAGUUAGUCCCCUGUUAAAUCCACCGAAUUAAUCGUUGGAUUGCGGGGGAUACUGCUUGGCUAGGGGACGAGAGAGGCAGACGGUAUUUUCGGGGUAGGGGUGAAAUCCUAUAAUCCCGGGAAGACCACCAGUGGCGAAGGCUGUCUGCUAGAACGCGCCCGACGGUGAGGGAUGAAAGCUGGGGGAGCGAACCGGAUUAGAUACCCGGGUAGUCCCAGCUGUAAACGAUGCAGGCUAGGUGUUUGGACGGCCACGUGCCGUUCUAGUGCCGCAGGGAAGCUGUUAAGCCUGCCGCCUGGGGAGUACGAUCGCAAGAUUGAAACUAAAGGAAUGGCGGG
rnacentral:rRNA from 1 species